GACGAACGCUGGCGGCGUGCUUAACACAUGCAAGUCGAACGGAAAGGCCCUGCUUUUGUGGGGUGCUCGAGUGGCGAACGGGUGAGUAACACGUGAGUAACCUGCCCUUGACUUUGGGAUAACUUCAGGAAACUGGGGCUAAUACCGGACAGGAGAUCCUGCUGCAUGGUGGGGGUUGGAAAGUUUCGGCGGUUGGGGAUGGACUCGCGGCUGACCAGCUUGCUGGUGGGGUAGUGGCUUACCAAGGCUUUGAAGGGUAGCCGGCCUGAGAGGGUGACCGGCCACAUUGGGACUGAGAGACGGCCCAGACUCCUACGUGAGGCAGCAGUGGGGAGUAUUGCACAAUGAGCGGGAGCCUGAUGCAGCAACGCCGCGUGCGGGAUGACGGCCUUCGGGUUGUGAACCGCUUUCGCCUGUGACGAAGCGGUAGUGACGGUAAUGGAUAAAGAAGCACCGGCUAACUACGUG
rnacentral:rRNA from 1 species